rnacentral:lncRNA from 1 species
UGGUGCCUGAGGCGCUGGGCCUUGGCAACUGGGUGAAGGCGCAGGAGUGGGCGGCCGUCCCCGGCGGGCAGGCCACAUACCUGGGCAACCCGGUGCCGUGGGGCACGCUGCCCACCAUCCUGGUGAUCGAAUUCGUGGCCAUCGCCUUCGCCGAGCACCAGCGCACCAUGGAGAAGGACCCCGAGAAGAAGAAGUACCCCGGCGGCGCCUUCGACCCGCUCGGCUUCUCCAAGGACCCCGUCAAGUUCGAGGAGUACAAGCUCAAGGAGAUCAAGAACGGUGAGUCUCCUGGUUUUGUGUACUAUAUGAUCUCGUUGUUGUAGUGACAGCCUCCCACUCCAUUGAUCAUACGCUAACCACUGGGCAUCGUCUAAACGAUUGUGCAUGAUGAUGAGCAGGCCGGCUUGCGAUGUUGGCGUUCGUGGGGUUCUGCGUGCAGCAGUCGGCGUACCCCGGCACCGGGCCGCUGGAGAACCUGGCUACCCACCUCGCCGACCCGUGGCACAACAACAUCGGCGACAUCAUCAUCCCCAGAACGAUCUACCCUUGAGCUGAGAUGAUUGUGAGAGAAGAGGAUGAGACGAGACAGGAGAUGGGGCUGUGCUGGGAGUGUGGAUGAUGUUCUAUGUGUGUGAUUGGUUGGUUACUGGGCACUGCCUGCGUGCGUGCAGGAACUGUACAACGAACAACGACGGCGACUUUCCGGCCGGCCGGGAACCCCUUAUAAUGUAAAGCUUAUUAUUAUUAAGUAGCGGCUACCCUUAUGAAUCCACCCAAGUUUUGUGCCAAAACCAAACUAUAGCUUUGCUAUGUUCCCCAUUGUUUUGCCGAAGGGCAAAUCAGAGGAAGUUCAGCGUGUGUUUGAUUUGGGAUCAAAUGAGAUGUGUUGGAUUCAUCCUACUUUUCUUGGUCAGGUUCAAUCCGUCUUGUGUUUGGUUGGGAGGGAUGUGUCCAUCUUGGUUUUUUUGAAAGGUGAGAUUUAAUACCGUUAACCACGGUUAAUCUCAUCUGUCAUCCAUGGAUCUCAUGUGCCAUCCUAAUUUCCCUUACAUUUGUUUUCUUUUAGCCUGCCUUAUCUUCUUGUGACGCUUCCUCAACGCGCCCUCCUUCACCAUGUCACCUCUCUAUUGUGCCAUCCUCCCCUGCCGCCCUCCUGUAAUACCCCGUCCUCCAAAGCUGCACCGCCCAACCCUUUUGAGGGGCGGGCACGCAUAUACAUAUCAUCCUACUUACACUUUUGUCGUCGCUUUGUGUAAAAGAUUUAACCCGAAGGUGCUAUGGCUGGUGGACAGAGGUUUAUAAGUUAGCUCCACCUUGCUCAACUAGCAAGGUGGUACUAAACAUGCGCACCUAUGCUCAUGGGCCACUACUGGGCCAUCCAAAAUUGGACCGGGUGCUACAUACACCCCCCUCAAAGAACCCGACGUCCUCGUUGGUCCAACUCACCCACACUUAGCGCACGACCGUACGUCCAUUGCCGGCGCCAUAUGUCAUGCCGUGUGUCCCAUCUAAAGCCCACACACGACAUGCGUCAUAUGCCUGCACACUGACCCGUACGCGCAACCGCAAGGGUUAGCUCUGAUACCACUUGUAACACUCCGUUCUCCAAAGCUGUCCCGCCCAAACAUUACGAGAGGGCGGGCACAUGUACACAUAGCACUGUACUUACACUUUCGUUCUUGUUUCGUAUAAAAGGGUUAACCCAAAGGUGCUAUGGCUUGUGGUCAAAGGCUUAUAAGUUGGUUCUGCUCUUGCUCAACUAACAAAGUGGUACUAAAUAUGCAUACCUGCGCUCAUAGGUCACUACUGAGCCAUCCAAAUUUGAGCCGGGUGUCACAUCUCCACUCCUCACACCUCUCCACCCUGUUCCUCCACAGCAUCGGCCGCUGUAGCUCGUGCCCCCAAUACACCUCGGGCUGGUCCCAACUCACUCAGGCAGAGCUUGCCCCACCUAGCGGCGGAGCUCUGCAUCUACACGAUAUUUUCCCUUCGAGGUAUGUCCCAACCCACAUGAAUCUCCGUCCAAACGGUGAUCCAUUUGGAUCUGACCUGUCCCAUCCAGUUCAACCUUCAAACCAAACGCAUGCUUAAUUUUGAAAUAGGGAAAAUUUGUAUGAGACUUGAGCACCUGGUGAUGGUUGCUUUUACAUAGAAACUAAAUACGCACAUCGAAUCUAUUAUGAGAUACAGGAAGACAAAGGCAGUUUUCUCCCAAAUUUCUUUCCCAUCCAUUUGUUCUGAAUCAUCAUGAUCAAGUGCUUCUAACUGAUGAGGUUGUAUACCUAAGGGCCAAUAUAUACGUAGGGUGAUUUUUUUUCAAAAAUAAAGGAAUAGUAAAUAUUCUUGACUUCUUUUCUUCUUUUUAAUCAAGAAACGUAUACUUCCUUUGUCAUCCUAAAUUAUAGGUCGUUUUGGUAUUUAUAGAUUCAUAGCUUUUACUAUGUAUCUAGACAUAGUAUACAUUUAGAUGCAUAACAAAAGCUAUACACCUAGAAACAUUAAAACGACCUACUUCCUCCGUCCCAAAAACAAGUCAUUCUAGAAAUUUUAGGACAUAUUAACAAGAGGUAAAAUGAUCUUGAUUGGCCCUAUUUAUUAGCUAUAUUUGGUGCUAAUUAACUGUUGUAUUCCUACUGCACACAUGCUAAAAUUGUGUAUAAUGAUCGAAAAUUGCAUCGUGGAAUUUGCAAUAAUGCGAUGACGACAGGAAUUGAAUGAAAAGAUCAGAAAAAAUUCGAAUAAAUACAAUGCAAGUAAAAGUUCAUAGAUUCAUGAUUCAUUGGACAAAUUUUAAAUCGCAGAAUGAUUUUUUUGGACGGAGAGAGUACAAUUUAGGAUGGAUGGAGUAGCUACUAAGAAACACUAACAUAGCGUCGAGGUGAGAUAUUAUCCCGAGAGGCGGAGACAGAGAUUGACAAUAAUGAAAGUGGCCAAAAAAUGCCGCAAGGUUCAACACGCACGCCGGAUAGAGAUAAAGGCCGGGCGGACCCGUCAUGGCUCGCCUCGCCCAAGGGAACCAAACUGGCACCAACAGAAUACACGCCUUCAAAAUGGAGGCCUCUCUUCUAUAUAUCGCCGUUGAUAUUCGCCAGCGACCAACCAAACUUUCACAACGAACUGGCCGGAAAGAAGAUGGACAUGGACCUGCCGGUCGGGCCGACGUUGUCGUCGGCCGUCGGUGCUGGCGCCGGCAGCUCAUUGCGGGCGUGGUCGGUGCGCGCCGGCAUCGGCCGCGAGGUGGACGGUCUCGCCGCGGUUCUUGAUGAGACCAAGCUGGUCCUCAGCUUGGCACGCGGGAAGGAGGAGCCGGAGAACAAGGCGUUGGAGGGAUUCUUCAGGGAGCUAGACUACGAGGUGUUCGACGUGGACACCCUCGUCAACGAGCUGGAGGACCGCCGCCGCAUACGGACCGAGGUGGUGGAACCGUGGAAGCAGCUGCUGAGGAGGCCGUCGCUGGGUGGCAGGUUAGUCACAUCGUCAGAAAAUAGAGAUUUUGGAUUCCCCCUUUCUACGAAGAAAAUGGAGAGAUCAAAUCAAACGGGCAUUUGGGUUUAUGAUCUUCACAAGAAACAUGGAUGGAUGAUGCAGAAACCAAAGAAAAUAAGUUUGGACACAUGAUGACACGGUCUCAUCCUUUUGUCGCUAUUUUCUAGUAAAAUAAAAGGUUAUCAAAAUAUUUUCCAGGAUAAAUCUACAAACAAGGUUUUUGAAGUUUUCAAACUAUGGUAGUCCUUGCGGAUCAGUUAAACCGGGUUUGGCACUGCAUGCUUCAGCUCUGGUCCUCCAUGUGCGCCAUUGCAUGCGUCAGUAAACAUGGUGGCGGUUGCGGACGGUAGCUUCCUCCUCUAUUGGUAUUUCCAUAUGGUACUGUAUAUUUUGGGUUUGCAGUCUUCACUCUUCAGUCUCCUUGGUCUGCCUAGUUCAGUUAAUUUGUGAUGCUUCCCGCACGUGUGGUGUUGGAUCAGAUGGUAAUUCAGGCUCUCAGUUAGUUUCUGCCAAAUUUGAUUUCGGACUCAGUUGUAUUAUUGCAAGAAACUUGUGUUAUAUUAAACUUCUUAAUCGGACAUGUUGGAUGUUCCAGAUCCCAAACUUCAAGUUAACUAGAGAAAUGCUGUCGGCAUUAUUGGAAUAAAAUGCAGCUAGCACUUAGGCUUAAACAAGAGCACAUUGUUUUCUCUCUUCCUUUUCUUUCGUUGAGAAAAUUUGUAUAUGCAAGCAUCUAUUUAUUUCUUCUUUUUAAUUUUAUUUCUAGUACUUGGGUAACCAUACUGAGUGAAUGGCAUGCAGGCCUCGGCAGACGAAGCUAGGUUGUUCAGAUGGAACAAACUGUGAUGUAUUUCAGCAGAACAGCUCUAAUACUGACCCAUCAGCCUCAGAUUCAUCAGAACUUCAGCUCGUAACGUACAAAGAAGAAGCAAAAUCUUUGAUGCCUGGGGUGGAACUAGACAACAAGGAUGACAUCCUACGUAGGAUAUCACAUCAUGUCAAUCCGCUCAGUCAAAUGCAACAUUAUGCACGCAAAGCUCUCAGACAUGAGGAGCUUGACUUGCUUGCUCUCUGAAUGAAAUCUGCUGCAGACACGGACUUGAGACAACUCCUUUGGUCCCUGAACCCAGAAUCUAUGGCAGAGACAGGAGGAUUUGUCGGUCUUCGCAGUUGUUGGUAACGGUGGUGUUGGCAAGACCACAUAAGCUCGUGUUCUAUACAAUGACGAGAUAGUCGCCCGCAACAGUUAUAGAAAGCCACCUGUCUAUGACGUGUCCACAUCAGCUAUAGGUAAUAAUUGUAGACUAGUUACUAAACAGAUCAGCUAUAUCAUUUAUUUCAAAAUUUAGUGGGUCCCACGCGCCAGGAUUUCUUUAAUCCUUCCCUCCUCUCUCUCUUCCCUUUCCAUCCUCUCCCUUCCUGUCUUCCCCACCUCCCCUAUCCCGGCAGCACGCCUUCACCUUCGUCCGCUGCUGCUCGCCGGUGGGCCGCGCCCUAAGCCAGCGGGCCGCUUCUCCUUUGCGUUACUGCGUGGCGGCGCUGAGGCCAAGCUCCGUCCCUGGAUGGAGUCCGCCCACGACAGCGGCCAUGCUCCGGUGGCCCCGCACCUGGCCUCCGCCGCAGGCACCCCCGCCAGCAUGCACGCAUGUGGCGCCACUCCCGGCCUCCACUGCGGCCACGCCCGCGGUCAUGUGCGCAAGCGGCACCACUCCCGACCUCCGCCGCCAGCCGCGCCGUCUGCAUGCGCACUAGCGGCCGAGCAGCGCUCCACCAGCUCCAUGCCCGCGCCCGCCGCCCAGCCUCCUCCCUCAUCGUACAGGGUGCCGGUGGCUGAGCCCCGCCUUCCCUCCUCGUAGUGCCGGAGGCCGCAACUUGCCCCCUCCCCACUAGGCCACCACGCUCCUCACCUUUGCUUCUGACAGCGCCCACACACACGCAGG